GUCAUGUGUGGUAUGGUAUGUUUAUGGUGGUUGUAAUACCAGAAUUAUAUUUAUUUCUGAAGAUUAUUGGAGCACAUACCAACAGCUUUUAACUAAAUAAAAAAUAUCAAGUUUAAAAAUCAGGAGAAAUAGAAUGAUAUCAAUAGACUGACUACACAAAAUUGUUAAUAACCACAAAAAGGAGGUCAAUAUAAUCUACAUUUUUUAUUUCGGUGAUUUGGUAUACCAAGGGUUAUUUCCGAGUUAAGGUCUCAUAUACGGCAAUUAAUUAUUAAAGGAAAAUAUAGAUGCAUCAUUUAGUAUUUGUUUUCAAAAGUAAUGAAGGCUUAUAGUAUAUUACUCUUUGUGACAGCAAUGACAUUGAUUGUCCUGGUGUCAAGCUCUCCAUUUCAUUCCGGAAUAGCUGCUGAGAUCAGGAAAAUAAGCGAAAGGUUUUUGUUCCAAACUGCGGUCGGAUGUUGUUGUCCUUCUUGUCACCCUGUUUGUAGAUGCUGCUGUGCCAAAUGAACUAAAAAGUUUUGAGAUUAUUGACUUUAGAAAUAUAGGAGGAUGUCUAAACUUAUUGUAACCAAGAAAAAUUAUCUUGCAGAUAUAAAGGGAAAACGGUAGUAUGUAUUCUUCCAUAGGCGACAAUACUAACAUUUUCUAAAUUUACUACUUUUUAUAAUAAAACCUGGACAAAACA